GGAAAGAAUCAAGAAGGUACAGGUGAGAAAACUUGUGGUUUGAGAUGAGGGCAGUUUAAUAGGUAAAGAAAAGCUGCAUGUUCAACCAAAGACUAGCAAGGAAUUCAUCUGCUACUUUCCAUUGGCAAGUAGAUGUUCAGCCAUUUCCAGGACAACAGGGCCAACCAUGUGUAACGAUUUCUUGGGAAGACAGAUGUCUUCACUAUGGAAAUUCUUCUGUAUUUCCUCUAGUUUUCAUUGCUUUUAUUGCUAUGGAAUAUCCUUUCAUUCAGAUUGGGUCAGUUGUCUUUUUCUCAGUUGUCUUUUUCUCAUACUCGUCAGCAAAUUUGCUGAGGGUGCACUCAAUUCCAUCAUUGAUAUCAUUGAUAAAGAUGUUAAAGAGCACCAGUCCCAAGACAGACCCCUGGGGGACUCCGCUCGUUACCGGCCUCCACCUGGACUUAGAACCAUUAAUCACCACCCUCUGUCUGUGGCCUUUCAACCAAUUUCUUAUCCAACGAGUGGUCCACCCAUCAAAUCCACAUCCCUCCAAUUUGGAGAUAAGGAUGUGGUGGGAGACCAUGUCAAAGGCCUUGCUCAAGUCCAGGUAAAUGACAUUGGUCACCUUCCCUUUGUCCACCAAUGCCGUCACUCCAUCAUAGAAGGUCAUCAGAUUGGUUAAGCAUAACCUACCCUGGUGAAGCCGUGCUGGCUGUCUCAUAUCACACGCUCAUUCCUCAUGUGAUCGAGCAUGUCAUCCAGGAGGAUCUGUUCCAUGAUCUUCCCAGGUACAGAGGUGAGACUCACCAGCCUGUAGUUCCCCGGAUCCUCCCUGCAGCCCUUCUUGUAGAUGGGAGUCACAUUGGCAAGCCUCCAGUGUUCUGGGACCUCACCCGUCAACAAGGAGCGCUGAUAGAUGAUGGAAAGCGGCUCGGCUAUCACCUCCACCACACUCUCGCGUGAAUCUCAUCCGGUCCCAUGGACUUGUGGCAGUCCAGUUGGAGUAGCAGGUCUCUGACUGUUACCUCCUGAAUCGUGGGGGGUUUAGUCUGCUCCCCAGCCAAGACUGCCAGGUCAGGGAGUAGAGAAACCUGAGGAUAACCGUUCUGUCUUUUAAAGACAGAUGUAAAGAAGGCAUUCAGAACAUCUGCCUUU
ensembl:lncRNA